GGGGGGGGGGGGGGGGGGGGGUGGGGGAGGGGGGGGGGGGGAAGAGAGGAGGAGGUUGCUGGUGUGGCGUUAGGGGGGGGCGGGUGAGUAACAGGUGGGUAACCUAGGUAUAAGACUGGGAUAACUUCGGGAAAGCGGAGCUAAUACCGGAUAAUAUAUUGAACCGCAUGGUUCAAUAGUGAAAGACGGUUUUGCUGUCACUUAUAGAUGGAUCCGCGCCGCAUUAGCUAGUUUGUAAGGUAACGGCUUACCAAGGCAACGAUGCGUAGGCGACCUGAGAGGGUGAUCGGCCACACUGGAACUGAGACACGGUCCAGACGCCUACGGGAGGCAGCAGUAGGGAAUCUUCCGCAAUGGGCGAAAGCCUGACGGAGCAACGCCGCGUGAGUGAUGAAGGUCUUCGGAUCGUAAAACUCUGUUAUUAGGGAAGAACAAAUGUGUAAGUAACUAUGCACGUCUUGACGGUACCUAAUCAGAAAGCCACGGCUAACUACGUG
rnacentral:rRNA from 1 species